AUUUGGCAUGACAUUACAAUAUUCGAUAUGUUAUCUAUAUUCUAUUGUGAAUUAAAUAUAAGUUUGAGAUUUGUAAAUUAUUCCAUUCCUUUGUUACUCACAAUUUGUACAGUGUCCCAACCUUUUUGGAAUCGGGUUUGUAUAAUGACCAUUUAUGAUCUCCAAGUAGCCUAUGUCGAUACGGCCUGAGUGACAUAGGAAAAGCAAUGCAAAGCAAGUUUAUUUGUCUAGUCAGGGGUGGUGGAAUCAGAAAUUUCAAACGUUACAAAUGCAUGAACAACAGAAAUAAGAGAAAAUGCUGAAUAAAGUGAAAUAAAAAAAUAAUACAACAAUAGCCUACGGUAGUGAUGCAAUAUUUUAUUUUGUGGUACGUUUGUAUGUGUAAUAUUCCUCGUCAUCUUAUUUUAUAUUACCUAUUAUUAUAAUUAUAGUUGUGGCUAUUACUGAGGCUGUUACGAUUGCGGUUUUUCGUGAUAAUGAUGGUCUUAUUGCGAAUCAAGCAUGAGCUUAUUUUCUGAUGUUGGUUUACUCGGUCUCUGACCAGACGUGAAUUUGAUCAUAAGGAUACGACAAACAUAAUAUUGAUGAAUAUCAGCUCAGUUGGUGAAAUGAUCAUACGAUCAUUUUAAGAUCAAGUUUUAUUGUACGCAUGUUUCAUGAAUGAGGGCAAUGUUACUGUCACGGUUCGAGAGGCAGGACACAGACCCAGAGUUGUGGUUGAAAUUCAUAAUUUUAAUACUGCUCAAAAGAAACAAAAACAAACUGGCUACAAUGACAAAAGCAGGACGUGGCCCAGGGACAGGUGGAGGCUGCCGCCCCCGAAGCAGGACAGGGUGCCGGAGUGUAGGGAGGAGGUUCCGCCACCGAAGUAGGAUGAGGCGCUGGAGCAGGAGGCCCCAGGGGAGCUGGAGGCGCCAGGGGAGCUGGAGGCCUCUCUGCCCCGGAAGCGAGACAGGCCACAGGAGCAGAGGGAGAAAGAGGUGAUGACAGAGGCUCGUCAAACCACCACUCCGGAGGUGGUGGCGGCAGCGCCUCAUCGUCCCACCCCUCCCGAGGGUGGCAGUAGGGGCUCCCCACCUCCAGGGGCUUGUCCAUCAACACCUUUCUCAUCCCUCCCAAGGAUCUCGCCUUCCUCCUCCUCUGUCACCUCUGGGUCCUCCUGCCCUCCGGGCUGCAGGGACUCCUUGUGGCAACAAGAGCAGCUCGUCAUCCUCUUCAGACACUCUCCACACUCUCCAGAAAUCGAGACUCAUCAGACCAGGCAAGAUUCUUCCAGUCUUCAACUGUCCAAUUUUGGUGAGUGUAUGCAGAUUUACAGUGUGCCAACUUACAACGGAUUCUCUCCAAAACCGAAUAAAGACGCUCUGAGGAUCCUAUCUUCAGAAGGAAAAUGCAUGCAGGCUAUUGCACAACGCAAGCUGCUUGAAGAGGUUGGGCAGUUUUGGCUUCCCAUUUUGAGCAGGCCAAGACCGGACACGCUCCACUGAUAUGCCAAAUAACUGUGUUCAUUUCAGAAUCUCUCAAAAGCUUGACAAAUUCAGAAUUUCGAUUCUUGCAUAUUUAGCAAUUGCCAAAUACGAUCAGUGAUUUUUUUUUUAAUGGUUACAUUGAGCUAUUUUAGCUAAUUCUUUUCUUAAUGCUCAGCCAUGUUUAUUUACAUUGCCCUGGAUUCUGGGAUUGGUAGACAUCUGACUAAAGAUUCGCAAAUCUGUACAGAAGACAAGCAAAUGUAAAUUACCAUCUGAUCUCAGAGACUCAUAACCUUUAUCUUUGGUUGAUUCGGAUAAACAAACAUGGCAGCACCCCCAAACAUACAUCUACUGUACCUUUGGGUUACUUAACUUCUAGAAAGUUUUUACACCAUGAUUUUGAUCAGUAGUCCGCUCUCCUGGGAUAUGGUGAUUUGUUCUAGUCACUAAUAUCAUUAAUUUUUGUGUCAGAGAUAUGACUGCUUGUGUAGGUACAUAAGUGACCUUUCAUGUCCUGAUUUGAACAAUUGCUUUCUCUGUUAUUGUUUGAAAAUCUACACCAUAAAAUGUAUGACAUUGAGGAAAAAGGUUAUAAACACUGUUUGAGAUAAAGUGUUUGUAAGUAAAUAAAAGUGUAGUCUGACCAGUGAUUGUUGCGUCACUUAUACUUCGACG
ensembl:lncRNA